rnacentral:rRNA from 1 species
AUUGAACGCUGGCGGCAUGCCUUACACAUGCAAGUCGGACGGCAGCACGGGAGCAAUCCUGGUGGCGAGUGGCGAACGGGUGAGUAAUGUAUCGGAACGUGCCCAGUCGUGGGGGAUAACGUAGCGAAAGCUACGCGAAUACCGCAUACGAUCUAUGGAUGAAAGCGGGGGACCGUAAGGCCUCGCGCGAUUGGAGCGGCCGAUAUCAGAUUAGGUAGGUGGUGGGGUAAAGGCCUACAAAGCCGACGAUCUGUAGCUGGUCUGAGAGGACGACCAGCCACACUGGGACUGAGACACGGCCCAGACUCCUACAGGAGGCAGCAGUGGGGAAUUUUGGACAAUGGGCGCAAGCCUGAUCCAGCAAUGCCGCGUGCAGGAUGAAGGCCUUCGGGUUGUAAACUGCUUUUGUACGGAACGAAAAGACUCUGGUUAAUACCUGGGGUCCAUGACGGUACCGUAAGAAUAAGCACCGGCUAACUACGUGCCAGCCGCCGCCGUAACAC